UGCUCUGUGCCAGGCAGAGAAGGUCAGAGAAGGAACUGAAGGGGCAGACAAAACCCCCUGUCUCCCGCGAGCCUGCAUCCCAGGCGACAGACAGGUGAUAAAGCACACAGUGCUGGGGGUGCGGUGGUGGUGAGGGCCUGGUGCUGGAUGGGGCAGGAAGGCCUCUCUGACACAGCUGCAUCGGGUGGCGACAGGGAGGUGAAGGAGAGUCAGCUGAUAGGCGGCAUCGUGCGUCUGGGCCAAGGGACCAUCCGUUCAGAAGCGGCAAGCAGAGGAGUGGGAUGCAGGCCACAGUGGCUGGGAGUGGAAAAACUGGCUCCCUGUGCGCCCUGCGCCCUCCCACUCUGGGCCAGCAGCUUCUGGAAUCUUGGUUUCUGUGAAUAUUUGUUUCUGCCUUCGUGCGGACCCACGGGGGAACACGGCCCCCACCGGGCACCGGUGGAGGGAAGGAAGCAGGAAAGUGCAGAAACCAGGGUGCGCCCUCAGCACCCGGCAGUGGCACGAGGAAGCCCUGCCGACCCGGCUCUGUGCUGGGUGCCUCUCAGCAUUCCUAGCUCACUCCUCAGCGACACCUCCAAGACCCACCCUCGGGUGACAAAGCUCAGGUGCAGAGGUCGGAGUCCCUUGCCCAAGGUCACUCAGCAAAUGAUCAGAAGAGGCAAGAGUUGAACCAGAUCCUUACAGAUGUCAUUAGCUGAGACAUGACAGGGGAAGCGGCCCUGUGAAGAAGGCAGGAGAAACUGGAGUGACGCAUUCGCAAGUGGAACAUGGAGGCUGCCAACAGCCACCAGCAAAGGUCC